rnacentral:rRNA from 1 species
AGUGAACGCUGGCGGUAGGCCUAACACAUGCAAGUCGAACGGCAGCACAGUAAGAGCUUGCUCUUACGGGUGGCGAGUGGCGGACGGGUGAGGGAUACAUCGGAAUCUACUUUUUCGUGGGGGAUAACGGAGGGAAACUUACGCUAAUACCGCAUACGACCUACGGGUGAAAGCAGGGGAUCUUCGGCCCUUGCGCGAUUGAAUGAGCCGAUGUCGGAUUAGCUAGUUGGCGGGGUAAAGGCCCACCAAGGCGACGAUCCGUAGCUGGUCUGAGAGGAUGAUCAGCCACACUGGAACUGAGACACGGUCCAGACUCCUACGGGAGGCAGCAGUGGGGAAUAUUGGACAAUGGGCGCAAGCCUGAUCCAGCCAUACCGCGUGUGUGAAGAAGGCCUUCGGGUUGUAAAGCCCUUUUGUUGGGAAAGAAAAGCAGCAGGUUAAUACCCCGCUGUGCUGACGGUACCCAAAGAAUAAGCACCGGCUAACUUCGUG